rnacentral:rRNA from 1 species
GACGAACGCUGGCGGUGUGCUUAACACAUGCAAGUCGAACGGAAAGGCCUCUUUCGGGGGGUACUCGAGUGGCGAACGGGUGAGUAACACGUGAGUAACCUGCCCUUGACUUUGGGAUAACUUCAGGAAACUGGGGCUAAUACCGGAUAGGAGCUCCUGCUGCAUGGUGGGGGUUGGAAAGUUUCGGCGGUUGGGGAUGGACUCGCGGCUUAUCAGCUUGUUGGUGGGGUAGUGGCUUACCAAGGCUUUGACGGGUAGCCGGCCUGAGAGGGUGACCGGCCACAUUGGGACUGAGAUACGGCCCAGACUCCUACUGGGGGCAGCAGUGGGGAAUAUUGCACAAUGGGUGGAAGCCUGAUGCAGCAACGCCGUGUGCGGGAUGACGGCCUUCGGGUUGUAAACCGCUUUCGCUCAUGACGAAGCUUUGUGUGACGGUAGUGGGUAAAGAAGCACCGGCUAACUACGUG